AAGAGAGGAGCUUGCUCUUCUUGGAUGAGUUGCGAACGGGUGAGUAACGCGUAGGUAACCUGCCUUGUAGCGGGGGAUAACUAUUGGAAACGAUAGCUGAUACCGCAUAACAAUGGAUGACACAUGUCAUUUAUUUGAAAGGGGCAAUUGCUCCACUACAAGAUGGACCUGCGUUGUAUUAGCUAGUAGGUGAGGUAACGGCUCACCUAGGCGACGAUACAUAGCCGACCUGAGAGGGUGAUCGGCCACACUGGGACUGAGACACGGCCCAGACUCCUACGGGAGGCAGCAGUAGGGAAUCUUCGGCA
rnacentral:rRNA from 1 species